UACGGGGGGGGGCGAGCGUUGUUCGGAGUUACUGGGCGUAAAGGGUGCGUAGGCGGUGCUCUAAGUCGGAUGUGAAAACCCGCGGCUUAACUGUGGGCUUGCAGCUGAUACGGGCGGGCUAGAGUUCGGUAGGGGAGACUGGAAUUCCUGGUGUAGCGGUGAAAUGCGCAGAUAUCAGGAGGAACACCGGUGGCGAAGGCGGGUCUCUGGGGCCGAUACUGACGCUGAGGAGCGAAAAGCGUGGGGGAGCGAACAGG
rnacentral:rRNA from 1 species